rnacentral:rRNA from 1 species
ACGUAGGGGGCAAGCGUUGUUCGGAAUUACUGGGCGUAAAGGGCGCGUAGGCGGUGCGGUAAGUCACCUGUGAAAUCUCCUGGCUCAACUGGGAGCUUGCAGGCGAAACUGCCGUGCUGGAGUGUGGGAGAGGUGCGUGGAAUUCCUGGUGUAGCGGUGAAAUGCGUAGAUAUCAGGAGGAACACCUGUGGCGAAAGCGGCGCACUGGACCACAACUGACGCUGAGGCGCGAAAGCUAGGGGAGCGAACA